AGUGAACGCUGGCGGUAGGCCUAACACAUGCAAGUCGAACGGCAGCACAGUAAGAGCUUGCUCUUACGGGUGGCGAGUGGCGGACGGGUGAGGAAUACAUCGGAAUCUACUUUUUCGUGGGGGAUAACGUAGGGAAACUUACGCUAAUACCGCAUACGACCUACGGGUGAAAGCAGGGGAUCUUCAGACCUUGCGCGAUUGAAUGAGCCGAUGUCGGAUUAGCUAGUUGGCGGGGUAAAGGCCCACCAAGGCGACGAUCCGUAGCUGGUCUGAGAGGAUGAUCAGCCACACUGGAACUGAGACACGGUCCAGACUCCUACGGGAGGCAGCAGUAGGGAAUAUUGGACAAUGGGCGCAAGCCUGAUCCAGCCAUACCGCGUGAGUGAAGAAGGCCUUCGGGUUGUAAAGCCCUUUUGUUGGGAAAGAAAAGCAGCAGGUUAAUCCCCCGCUGUUCUGACGGUACCCAAAGAAUAAGCACCGGCUAACUUCGUG
rnacentral:rRNA from 1 species